rnacentral:rRNA from 1 species
AUUGAACGCUGGCGGCAGGCCUAACACAUGCAAGUCGAGCGAGCGGCGGACGGGUGAGUAAUGUAUGGGGACUGCCCGAUAGAGGGGGAUAACUACUGGAAACGGUGGCUAAUACCGCAUACUAUCGGAUAACCCCUAUGGGAUUAGCUAGUAGGUGGGGUAAAGGCUCACCUAGGCGACGAUCUCUAGCUGGUCUGAGAGGAUGAUCGGCGGCACUGGGAGUGAGACACGGACCAGACGCCGAGGCAGGGAGCAGUGGGCAAUAUUGCGCAACGGGCGCAAGCAUGAUGCAGUCAUGCCGAGUGUAAUAAGACGGCCUUAGGGUUGUAAAGUCCUUUCAGCGGUGAGGCGUUACCUGCAGAAGAAGCACCGGCUAACUCCGUGCCAGCAGCCGCGGUAAUUC